rnacentral:rRNA from 1 species
CGUAAAGGGCGCGCAGGCGGUCUCUUAAGUCUGAUGUGAAAGGCCACGGCUCAACCGUGGGAUGGCAUUGGAAACUGGGGGACUUGAGUGCAGGAGAGGGGAGCGGAAUUCCCGGUGUAGCGGUGAAAUGCGUAGAGAUCGGGAGGAACACCAGUGGCGAAGGCGGCUCUCUGGCCUGUAACUGACGCUGAGGCGCGAAAGCGUGGGGAGCGAACAGGAUUAGAUACCCUGGUAGUCCACGCCGUAAACGAUGAGUGCUAGGUGUUAGGGGCGUCACGCCCUUAGUGCCGAAGUAAACACAUUAAGCACUCCGCCUGGGGAGUACGGCCGCAAGGCUGAAACUCAAAGGAAUUGACGGGGGCCCGCACAAGCGGUGGAGCAUGUGGUUUAAUUCGAAGCAACGCGAAGAACCUUACCAGGGCUUGACAUCCUCUGACCCCUCUAGAGAUAGAGGUUUCCCUUCGGGGACAGAGAGACAGGUGGUGCAUGGUUGUCGUCAGCUUGUGUCGUGAGAUGUUGGGUUAAGUCCCGCAACGAGCGCAACCCUUGAGCUUAGUUGCCAGCAUUGAGUUGGGCACUCUAAGCUGACUGCCAGUGACAAGCUGGAGGAAGGUGGGGAUGACGUCAAAUCAUCAUGCCCCUUAUGUCCUGGGCGACACACGUGCUACGAUGGCUGGUACAGAGGGCAGCGAAGCGGUGACGCGGAGCCAAUCCCUAGAAAGCCAGUCUCAGUUCGGAUCGCAGGCUGCAACUCGCCUGCGUGAAGGAGGAAUCGCUA